rnacentral:rRNA from 1 species
CGGUAAUUCCAGCUCCAAUAGCGUAUACUAAAGUUGUUGCAGUUAAAAAGCUCGUAGUUGGAUUUCUGCGGGGACGGAGCGGCCGGACGCAACUUGCGUCUCGAGCUAGCGCUUUCCCCACAUCCUGCCGCGAACCGUGCUACCAUUAGCUUGGUGGCGCUGGGGAUCGGCUCGAUUACUUUGAGAAAAAUAGAGUGUUCAAAGCAGGCCACACGCCUUGAAUAAGUUAGCAUGGAAUAAUGAUUAAGGACUUCGGUUCUAUUUUGUUGGUGUUCGGGACUGAAGUAAUGAUUGAUAGGGACAGUUGGGGCGGUCUGUAUUCCAAAGCGAGAGGUGAAAUUCUUAGACCUUCGGAAGACAAACAGCUGCGAAAGCGUUCCGCAAGGAUGUUCCCUUUGAUCAAGAACGAAAGUUGGGGGAUCGAAGACGAUCAGAUACCGUCGUAGUCUCAACUAUAAACUAUACCAGCUAGGGAUCGGCCAACGUUUAACUUUAUCGACUUGGUCGGCACCUUAUGAGAAAUCAAAGCAUCUGGGUUCCGGGGGGAGUAUGGUCGCAAGGCUGAAACUUAAAGGAAUUGACGGAAGGGCACCACCAGGCGUGGAGCCUGUGGCUUAAUUUGACUCAACACGGGAAAACUUACCAGGUCCAGACAUAGGAAGGAUUGACAGAUUGAUAGCUCUUUCUUGAUUCUGUGGGUGGUGGUGCAUGGCCGUUUUUAGUCGGUGAAGUGAUUUGUCUGCUUAAUUGCGUUAACGGACGAGACCCCAGCCUGCUAAAUAGCGCGGCCGAGCUUUGCUCGGUGCGAGCUUCUUAGAGGGACCAUGAUGCGCGAUAGCACAAGGAAGUUUGGGGCAACAACAGGUCUGUGAUGCCCUUAGAUGUUCUGGGCCGCACACGGGCUACACUGGCGCCUGCAACGAGCAUAUCAGCUGGCCCGAGAGGGUCUUGGCUAAUCUUUGGAACCGGCGCCGUGCUUGGGAUUGACCAUUGCAAUUGUUGGUCAUGCAACGAGGAAUGCCUUGUAAACGCGAGUCAUCAGCUCGCAUUGAAUACGUCCCUGCCCUUUGUACACACCGCCC